UACGAAGGGGGCUAGCGUUGCUCGGAAUUACUGGGCGUAAAGGGCGCGUAGGCGGAUAUCUAAGUCGGGGGUGAAAGCCCAGGGCUCAACCCUGGAAUUGCCUUCGAUACUGGGUAUCUUGAGUACGGGAGAGGUGAGUGGAACUCCGAGUGUAGAGGUGAAAUUCGUAGAUAUUCGCAAGAACACCAGUGGCGAAGGCGGCUCACUGGCCCGGUACUGACGCUGAGGUGCGAAAGCGUGGGGAGCAAACAGG
rnacentral:rRNA from 1 species